GACGAACGCUGGCGGCGUGCUUAACACAUGCAAGUCGAACGGAAAGGCCCUGCGUUUGUGGGGUGCUCGAGUGGCGAACGGGUGAGUAACACGUGUGUACCCUGCCCCUGACUUUGGGAUAACUUCAGGAAAUUGGGGUUCAUACCGGACAGGAGCUCAUGCUGAAUGGUGGGGGCUGGAUAGUUUCGGCGGUUGGGGAUGGACUCGCGGCUCAUCAGCUUGUUGGAGGGGUAGUGGCUUACCAAGGCCUUGACGGGUAGCCGGCCUGAGAGGGUGACCGGGCACAUUGGGACUGAGAUACGGCACAGACUCCUACGGGAGGCAACAGUGGGGAGUAGUGCACAGUGGGCGGAAGCCUGAUGCAACAACGCCGCGUGCGGGAUGACGGCCUUCGGGUUGUAAACCGCUUUCGCCUGUGACGGAGCGUGAGUGACGGUAAUGGGUAAAGAAGCACCGGCUAACUACGUG
rnacentral:rRNA from 1 species